rnacentral:rRNA from 1 species
GACGAACGCUGGCGGCGUGCUUAACACAUGCAAGUCGAACGGAAAGGCCCUGCUUUUGUGGGGUGCUCGAGUGGCGAACGGGUGAGUAACACGUGAGUAACCUGCCCUUGACUUUGGGAUAACUUCAGGAAACUGGGGCUCAUACCGGAUAGGAGCUCUUGCUGCAUGGUGGGGGUUAGAAAGUUUCGGCGGUUGGGGAUGGACUCGCGGCUUAUCAGCUUGUUGGUGGGGUAGUGGCUUACCAAGGCUUUGACGGGUAGCCGGCCUGGGAGGGUGACCGGCCACAUUGGGACGGAGAUACGGCCCAGACUCGUACGGGACGCAGGAGUGGGGAGUAUUGCACAAGGGGCGGAAGCCUGAUGUAGCAACGCCGCGUGCGGGAUGACGUCCUUCGGGUUGUGAACCGAUUUCGCCUGUGACGAAGCGUGAGUGACGGUAAUGGGUAAAGAAGCACCGGCUAACUACGUG